rnacentral:rRNA from 1 species
GAUUAUGGCUCAGGACGAACGCUGGCGGCGUGCUUAACACAUGCAAGUCGAACGAUGACGAUGGUGCUUGCACCGUCUGAUUAGUGGCGAACGGGCGAGUAACACGUGAGUAACCUGCCCUCCUCUUCGGGAUAACCGCCGGAAACGGUGGCUAAUACCGGAUAUGAAUGUCUGCCGCAUGGUGGGUGUUGGAAAGAUUUAUCGGUGGGGGAUGGACUCGCGGCCUAUCAGUUUGUUGGUGAGGUAAUGGCUCACCAAGGCGAUGACGGGUAGCCGGCCUGAGAGGGCGACCGGCCACACUGGGACUGAGACACGGCCCAGACUCCUACGGGAGGCAGCAGUGGGGAAUAUUGCACAAUGGGCGAAAGCCUGAUGCAAGCGACGCCGCGUGGGGAUGACGGCCUUCGGGUUGUAAACCUCUUUCAGCAGGGAAGAAGCGAGAGUGACGGUACCUGCAGAAGAAGCGCCGGCUAACUACGUGCCAGCAGCUGC